rnacentral:misc_RNA from 1 species
GAUGAAGAACGCAGCGAAAUGCGAUACGUAAUGUGAAUUGCAGAUUUCAGUGAAUCAUCGAAUCUUUGAACGCACAUUGCGCCCGCUAGUAUUCUGGCGGGCAUGCCUGUUCGAGCGUCAUUUCAACCAUCAAGCCCUAGGCUUGCGUUGGAGCCCUGCGGCUGCCGCAGGCUCCCAAAUCCAGUGGCGGGCUCGUCGUCGUACCGAGUGCAGUAAACAUCCUCGCUCAGGGAACGUGACGGGUUCUUGCCGUGAAACCCCCCACAUAUCAAGGUUGACCUCGGAUCAGGUAGGAAUACCCGCUGAACUUAAGCAUAUCAAUAAGCGGAGGA